AUAAAAUCAUAGAAACGUACACAUGAAACAGUACACGAAAUUAAACUUACAUGAAAAAUCCUUAAUUACAUGAAAACUUACAUGAAAAAAUACACAAAAAAGCUUGAAUGAAACUUAAUUACAUGAAAUGUCUUUAAUGUAUUACAAGUUAAUGUACAUACACGAACUUAUAGAAGAACAACGUGAAACCAUACUAAUUUAUACUAAUAUCUACAUAUACUAAUUUCUACUGAAUUCUAUCAAAAUUGAAGCGUAACUUAUUUAUAGAGAUUUCUACUAAUUUAUUAAAAUUU
rnacentral:lncRNA from 1 species